UGCCCCUUCGUCCAAUGGCAGGACAUCGGUCUUUGGAUCCGAGAAUGGUGGUUCGAAUCCACCAGGGGCAA
rnacentral:tRNA from 3 species